rnacentral:rRNA from 1 species
AAUAUUGGACAAUGGGGGCAACCCUGAUCCAGCCAUGCCGCGUGUGUGAAGAAGGUCUUCGGAUUGUAAAGCACUUUAAGUUGGGAGGAAGGGCUUUAGGUUAAUACCCUGAAGUUUUGACGUUACCAACAGAAUAAGCACCGGCUAACUCUGUGCCAGCAGCCGCAGUAAUACAGAGGGUGCACGCGGUAAUCGGAAUUACUGGGCGUAAAGCGCGCGUAGGGGGGUCAGUAAGAUGGGUGUGAAAUCCCCGGGCUUAACCUGGGAAAUGCUUUCAUAACUGCCGAGCUAGAGUACGGGAGAGGGGAGGGGAAUUUCCUGUGUAGCGGUGAAAUGCGUAGAUAUAGGAAGGAACACCAGUGGCGAAGGCGACUACCUGGACUGAUACUGACACUGAGGUGCGAAAGCGUGGGGAGCAAACA